UCCGGUAGUGGAACCUGCGGGAGGGAUCAUUUCCAAGUUGACCCCCGGCCCCCCGGGCCCGGGAUGUUCACCAACCCUUUGUUGUCCGACUCUGUUGCCUCCGGGGCGACCCUGCCUCCGGGCGGGGGCCCCGGGGUGGACACUUCAAAACUCUUGCGUAACUUUGCAGUCUGAGUAAAUUUAAUUAAUAAAUUAAAACUUUCAACAACGGAUCUCUUGGUUCUGGCAUCGAUGAAGAACGCAGCGAAAUGCGAUAAGUAAUGUGAAUUGCAGAAUUCAGUGAAUCAUCGAAUCUUUGAACGCACAUUGCGCCCCCUGGUAUUCCGGGGGGCAUGCCUGUUCGAGCGUCAUUUCACCACUCAAGCCUCGCUUGGUAUUGGGCGACGCGGUCCGCCGCGCGCCUCAAAUCGACCGGCUGGGUCUUUCGUCCCCUCAGCGUUGUGGAAACUAUUCGCUAAAGGGUGCCGCGGGAGGCCACGCCGUAAAACAACCCCAUUUUCCAAGGUUGACCUCGGAUCAGGUAGGGAUACCCGCUGAACUUAAGCAUAUCAAUAA
rnacentral:misc_RNA from 1 species